AGUCCUGUAAUGGGGAGAGUCUAAUUUCGUGAUUACAUUAAGUAGUACGAACACGUGUAAGCUGCAUGCUAAUGUCCUGUCUUUUGUUCUCCCACUGCUAUAUGUUAUUGUCGUGUCGAAGCAUGUAAUCAUGGUUAUCUCUGUAUAAUAUUAAUCAAGUUCUACCCUCAUGGCAGGCAUUUUUAUUGACGAUUUCUUAUGACUCACACUACAUUUAAUUAAUCAUAACCUCUCAUUUUUUUAUUCACUAUGUGUAGUCACAUCAAUCAUAGCCCAGGAGGAAGAUCUGUUAGGCGGAGAACACCUUCGAUCUUGGUGCACCAGCAGUCGCCGGCUUUUCAGCCUCAUUAUUUUCGCCGAUAUUAUGGCCUCGAGAUGUCGGAUAAAGGCAGCUGCGACGGGGAGACCGCUGAUGACAUCGUUCAUGAAGAUAGCCAAAAUUCAGCAGAGUGGUGACUCAGCUGUGCCACCAGCACCGACAUCUCGCAUGUCUGUCAAGCACACUAUUGAAGUCAUACAGACAUUCAAUGAGUUCAAGUGAUUACUUGUCACGAGCUUUGGCUUUGGCGGCAUGCUCGAACUCCAAAUGUUGCAGAAACUGAACCUCAAAUUCAGUACUUGGACAAUGAGCAAGGUCAGCACCACCCGAUGCGCCAUUGUCCUGGCUGAGAACAAGAUACUUAAGUUCUGAGCAUAGGAUGUUCACAAAGUCUUUGGAUUCCCAUGUAGACAUCGCAACAUAAAGGGUUGGGAUGGCCACAUCAAGCCAGAAGAAAUUAAGUUCAUAAAGUCGAUGUGCUUGUCGGCAAUAGACUCAUUGGUCAUGAACUGAUGUGCUUGCUUUUCCGCCAUUUUGCUCAGCCUGAUUGUCAAGCAGAUACCGGAAACCCCUAUCUAAGCUGGAGGCACCCUAUCGAACCUGAUUUCUCAACUCUGGUGUUGUCUGAUUCUGGUUUCUUCCACACGGUAACAAUACAGAAGUAGUUAUCUGCUGACUCGAUCAAGUAUGACAUAGCAUCGUCUCAAGCGUUCAUCACACCGGUGCCGCGCCCGGAAGGCUGGAUGAUUCUAGUGUGGGAUAUGCUACAAAAAGUAUUAAAUGUGACUGAUCCUCUUUAUGCCAAAAGUUCAACCAAUCACCCAUACAAGGAACGCGACGAAGCCUUGGCAUGGAAGCUGCACAAUGCAUUACUCUCGUGCCUUGGCAUGAAUUCUAUCCCGGAUGGCCAGCAACCAAGGAAAACUGGUGGAUCAAGCAUGAACCCACAACCGAUGACAUCUUCACGACGUAAGUGACACCAGGUCAGGACUACAUCCUUAUUGCUGAAAAGACUCACCCCUCGUUCCAUGUGGCACGCUUUCUGCAUUUUUGCAGCGACAAGACAGGUUUCUGCACAAUGCAUUUCCAACCUGGAAAUUGACACCUCCAUACAAAUUUGUUCACAGCACAACAUAUCCAAAAUACAGAGGGACAGCCUGCAUGAGUGCUUGAAGCUGCAGGGUAAUUUUUCCCAGAUUUCUAAGAAGGCAUUGUGGAAAGUCUUAGCACCUUCAGACUCCUUCGACGACUAGGAAUCCUCCUUCAUCACUCACCGGAGGAAAUUUCAUGCAUCACAUCCUGAUAGUUAUUUGUAGCUUCCCCGUAGAGUUUUUUGGGUUGUAAGGCAGUACAAAUACCAUGAACUUGCCAAAGCUAUGUUGGUUUCAGAUUCUGCCAGAACCUUGUUUAAUUUCUUAUCUGCUUCCCAUUGCUUUGAUCAUCUAGACCCUGUA